UUAUCCUAUAUUCUUAAGUAUGUCGUAAAGUGAAGUCGCAUCGUCAUGAGGGACAGGAGAUUAACCAUGAUUGAACUGACACUAUCCAGAGUAGGAGACACUGGUCCUCAUUCUAGCUGCCUGGAAGCCAGUCUUCUGCUAGCAGCCUUCAGAUGAAGAUGGAGAACUCUCGGCUCCUCCUGCACCAUGCCUGCCUGGAUGCUACCAUGUUCCCACCUUGGUGAUAGUGGACUGAACCUCCGAGCCUGUAAGCCAGGCCCAAUUAAAUGUUGUUCUUACAAGAGUUGCCUUGGUCACGGUGUCUGUUCACAGCAGUAAAACCCUAACUAAGACACUCAUACACAAUUUUUUUUUCAAACGGUAGGUAGCACAUGAGGAAUGUCGCCCUAACUUGUCCUCUGGUCCCCAUGCACACAGGUCUCCAUCCACGAACAAAUAUACAUGCAUACACAGAGAAGCACAGAAGACCAGGUAACUAACACCCUGGCUUACUUAGCCUGGAGGAUAUGCUGCUGGCAUCUCUGACCCUCCUUCUCUCCCCCCCCCCCAGAACCCCACCCUCAGCUUCAGGAGCCACCUUGUGUACACUUCUGCAGUGCUGCUGGAGAGGUGGUCAGGAGCUGAUGUCCAGAAGCACCCAGCGCUCCAGGGUUCUCCUGCCGCCACCACCCUCCAUCCUUGUCACGUUUUUGGAAAACCUAUGCCUAGGUUCUCUUUGCCCUCCUUACACAGCCUUUAAAAAUAGUCAUUAAAAAAAAAAAGACAUGCAGACAUGCCAGAAAUAACCAGUGGCUCAAUGAACCUCUGAACAAAUAUGGUCAGUACAGAGAUGGCCUGGAACAGAUAUUUGCUUGGUAACAGCUAUUCACUCAGUGCCCUACAGAGGGAGUGUCUUGUGGCUAUGGCUGAUCAGACCAGAGGAAUUAAAAAGAAAGGCUAGAGAGAGCCAGACAUGGUGGAACCCCGGAACGUGAGAGGGGCAGGCUGGGGUGUCUGCAGUUCAAGGACUUCCUCAGCUGCCUAAUGAGUUCGAGGCCAGUUUGCGCAGCAGGAGAGAUUAUCCCCCAAACAAACAAAAGCCCUUGGGAAACAUGACAAACAAGACUACUACUUCACUUAAACACGAUGGUCUUCUCUCAGAAGCUGUAUCUGUCUUCAGGUCAUCAUCUUCGGGAUAUAGUUCAUCACUGUUCAGACCCGGUAUGUCUCACAACUGUUUGUACAAUCAACUUAUACACCAUGCAUUCACUACAGCUACUCCAAAUUAAAAAGGCCAGAGUAGGAGAAGCUGCAGUGUUUGGCCAGGACUAUUUCAGAACACAUUUCCGGGAAGCUGAUUCUCAUCUCACAACAGUAAAAAUGUAUGCUGGCAAAAAUGUCAAUCUAGAUUUCAUACAUACCUUUUAAAAGAGUCAGGUUUUAAUCAAGUUAUUUUCUGUGACGAGUUCUCUCGGAUGCUUUGGGCACCCCUUCAUCUAAUGAAAAGAAACACAUUUUAAGCAUCACACACCACUUCCUAUUGCUCUAAUACUUCAAUUAGGAAACUAAGCUGUAUCUCCCUUACCUUGGUAUCUUUUUGCAACUGCUUUGAUGAUGUUAAGAAUGAUGACGCCAUGGUCCCUGUGAAAGGGUUCAUGUGCAUAUAAUCCGAUGUCACUUAGGUGUCACCAGUACCUUCCAAACAGCACAAAAGGCCUUGCAUAUUUUUCUGCAAACCCCGCUGUGUAAGAACCCACCCAAACUGGGACUGAGGAACCAGAACGCACGCAGCCUUCAGCCAAGCUGCCCAGUCCCAAUCUCCCCAGGGCCUAGGCUCCAAUCCUGAAAUCUCUUUUGCUGCUGCGCACUUCUCCCAGGUAGUUUACACCGGUACCCUAAGCUCAAGUGCGGAGGGCUGCUCCGCAGAACCGGAGCAUCUAAAUUUACUCUGUAACCCCACAUUUUGCUUGGUCACCAGGUCGCCUAAAAGAGUAACCUACAGCGCAAAGAGAACCCUCAGCUUUCCGCGCAGGUCCCUUUAUAGUUUAGGGUGCAGUCAGAGCGAGGCUGUCCUUCCUUCCUUCUGUUACGGAUUGCACCCGAGAGCACGUGGGGGCGCGGCCGUUCCUGAAGCACCGCGUGGAAAAGCUGUGGGUCUUUUCUUCCCGGCCUUUCCGGGGGAGGUGCGCGCCGCCCGCCUGCCGCGUUCCUGUCCGUUGCUGCGCGCGCUCCCGCUGGCUCGCCGCCACCGGUUUCUUCCGAGUCUGGCAGGCAGCUUAGCCCUACGUGGAGUGGGAGUGGCGUCAAAAUUCAAAGGAACUGCCGCAGUUGGAGGCGUUGUACCACCUGCUUCGAGACGGUUGGCGGCCUGGAGUGGCCUUGACCUCACCCCAAGUCUAACCCGGGUGGCAGCCGCUCUGCCGAAGGGACCUUGGAGGACAGAACUACACCGGUGAAACGGAAAAGCCACGCGUUUAUCCUUCGUGCACUCUGGGGACGCCGCUGGUCUGCAGAGAGCCACGCUGUCCGGUGCUCCCUAUCCAAUGCCUGCUUGGGCGCCCAGCCAGGUCCAACCUCCAACCCAGCCCCACCCAUCCCACUACCAGACUUUGGGGACAAUUAUACUGUCAGUAUCCUCAGAAGUCAUUCUGCUUCACAGAGGAGGCAGCAGGUCAAAAGCCACCAAUUGGCCUUUAUUUAUUUUACGGCAAGAUUGAUUUAUUUUGUGCUGGGAUUUGAAUUCAGGACCUUUGGGAGAGCAGUCAGUGCUCUUACCCGCUGAGCCAUCUUACCAGCCCCACACCAAAGUCUUUGACCUUCCCGAAGCAAUCAGUAAGAAACUUCCAUCAACUCUGACCAGACAGAAUUUCAGAAUUACUGCAAACAGGGCUAGUGAGAUGACUCACUGGAUAAGGGUGCUUGCCAUGAAAAUGAGGCGAACUCAGUUCAAUCCCUGAAACGCAUGUAGAGAUGGAAGGGAGAAUACACUCCACAGAGCUGUCCUCUGAUCACCAUAUGUGCACCGUGGCAUGCAGGUCAACACACACAUCAUGCACACAUGCAGUAGUAAUGAUAGUAAGUGAAUAAAAGCCGUUUGGGUAAGAACAUCACAUAAGGUUUGCCAUAGAUAGAAGGUAGGGAAUAGAAUGACAUAUGGUAAAAGCUUGUCACAGAAUCUGGUUAAGGACUGUGCCUCUGGGCUACAUUUCAAGCCUGUGGUCUUAAUUUGGUUCUCUUUACAUCUAUGUGCUCAGGUACACACGUGCAUGCAGAGGCUGAAGGCCUUAGGUGUUAUCCUCAGGAGCACCAUUUAUUCCCUUUGAGAUAGGGCCUCUUACUGAUCUGGAGCUCAGGAAUCAGGCUAGACUGGCUGAGCACAAGUCUAGGAGAUCUUUCUGUUUCUGCCUUCCAGCUCAGAAAUUAUAAGCAUGGGCCAGCCACAUUUAACAUCAUCUUUAUGUGGCUAUGGGAAUCAAUCUGGAGUCCCUGGGCUUGCAAAGCCAACGCUUUGUUGAGCCAUCUCCAUAGCCACAGUAUUAGCUUUUUAAGGUCAUUAGAUGAAUGCUUUCUUCAAAAUGAUUUCUAGUAUGUAUUUUUGAUCUUACGUGUUAGCUUUCAUCACAAUAACAAGAGAAUUCAGAUCAGUGGUUCUCAACCUGUGAGUGGAGACGCCAUUGACAAACCUAUAGCUACAAAAAUAUUUACAUUAUGACGUAUAACUAGGAAAUUAUGAAUUAGCAGUGAAGAUAAUUUUAUGGUUGGAGGAGCCCUACAACCUGAGGAACUGUAUCAAAAGGCUGCAGAACGGGGAAGGGUGAGAACCUCUGAUUUAGAUAAUCAACUUUUGUCAGAGAAAAAUUUUGGUUGAUGGUUUGAAGGUUCUAGCCCAUAACUGGACUCUCCAUUGCUUUGGGCCCAUGGUAAGGCUGGAGGCUAUUUUGGAAGUGCCUAGCAGAGCAAAAGCACUCACCUCAUGGCCAGGAAAUGAAAACAAAGAGAAAGAAACCAGAGCUCCAGAGUCUCCUUCAAGAGUGCGCCUCCACUGACCUGACCGCCUUGUCAGCUGCUUCUUAAAGUUUCUACCACAGGGCUGGCGAAUGUUCACUGUCAACUUGAUUUCCCACAUGGUAUCCGUGUUCCAGAAUCC
rnacentral:lncRNA from 1 species